UACGUAGGGACCAAGCGUUGUUCGGAUUUACUGGGCGUAAAGGGCGCGUAGGCGGUAUGACAGUCACUUGUGAAAUCUCCGGGCUUAACUCGGAACGGCCAAGUGAAACUGUCAAACUAGAGUGCAGAAGGGGCAAUCGGAAUUCUUGGUGUAGCGGUGAAAUGCGUAGAUAUCAAGAGGAACACCUGAGGUGAAGACGGGUUGCUGGGCUGACACUGACGCUGAGGCGCGAAAGCGUGGGGAGCAAACAGG
rnacentral:rRNA from 1 species